CCGAGCCUACGGGGGGCAGCAGUGGGGAAUAUUGGGCAAUGGGCGCAAGCCUGACCCAGCAACGCCGCGUGAAGGAAGAAGGCUUUCGGGUUGUAAACUUCUUUUAAGAGGGAAGAGCAGAAGACGGUACCUCUUGAAUAAGCCACGGCUAACUACGUGCCAGCAGCCGCGGUAAUACGUAGGUGGCAAGCGUUGUCCGGAUUUACUGGGUGUAAAGUGCGUGCAGCCGGGAGUGCAAGUCAGAUGUGAAAUCCCGCGGCUCAAACGCGGAACUGCAUUUGAAA
rnacentral:rRNA from 1 species